UGCUCCACUUCAAGCAAAUUGCUGGUUUCCUUGGACAAGCAACACUACAAACUCAUUGAGAGAAGACCAGAGAUAUAAUCAUCUUCAAGUUCUUGAUCUGAGCCUGGAGGUGAAUGUAUGAAGAGAGUAUCUCCUGAAAUGUCUCAUGGUGUAUUUAGUGGAAGAAGUGGACCAACUGUUUAAACACUGGUUGUUCAGAAAGGUGAAGCUCAGGCUGAACUUAAGAGGUGCACGAUGGCCCUGUUUGCCCUCAGGGAGGAAGAGGACUGUCUUCAGCCACCACAGGAAGUCAGUCGCACAUGAAUGUUCCAUGUUUGGCCUUAUCUAUGCGUUAAACUUGAGCUAUCCUGGUGAGCUCAAACACACAUUUGUGGCCCGGCAGAAAAUAUUUAGGGAACGUAUUCUAUAUUGACAUUAAAAUAUUAAAUUUUGGUCACACUAUUUGUCAAACAAUUGUCAGAUUUUAACAUGGUUAGCAAAUAGGAUUAUACAGUUUUUAAGCUUAAGUUAUUAAAAAUGCAUUGUUUUAUUGAUUUUAUUUUUGUUUUCUGUCUUUUAUUGGAGAAAUAAUUUAAUAGUAAAACAUGGUAUGGUUUCAAGGAUGGUAAUAAAUGUUUUUGGA